AGCGAACGCUGGCGGCAGGCUUAACACAUGCAAGUCGAGCGGGCCCUUCGGGGUCAGCGGCGGACGGGUGAGUAACGCGUGGGAACGUGCCCUCUGGUCUGGAAUAACCCUGGGAAACUAGGGCUAAUACCGGAUACGCCCUUUUGGGGAAAGGCUUGCUGCCGGAGGAUCGGCCCGCGACUGAUUAGCAAGUUGGUGGGGUAACGGCCUACCAAGGCGACGAUCAGUAGCUGGUCUGAGCGGAUGAUCAGCCACACUGGGACUGAGACACGGCCCAGACUCCUACGGGAGGCAGCAGUGGGGAAUAUUGGACAAUGGGCACAAGCCUGUUCCAGCCAUGCCGCGUGAGUGAUGAAGGCCUUAGGGUUGUAAAGCUCUUUUAUCCGGGACGAUAAUGACGGUACCGGAGGAAUAAGCCCCGGCUAACUUCGUGCCAGCCGCCGCCGUAA
rnacentral:rRNA from 1 species